CGCCGGUACCACCUGCCGAAUAUGCCGGAACGACCUGAUCCACUCCCUAGAACCACUUAGUGGACACGCCAAAAUCAACUGCCGGCUACGCCAGAACCACUCGGCAGACACUCCGGAAUCACAGGCCAGGCAUUCCGGAACCACCUCUCAGAGGUGCCAGAAACAAAUGCCGGACACUCCGGUAUCACCUGCCGGGCAUGCCAGAACAACCUCUCAGAGGUGCCAGAACCACAUGCCGGACACUCCGGAAUCACCUGCCGGGCAUGCCGGAACCACCUGAUCGACUUGCCGGAACCACCGGCUCGACUCGCCGGAACACCGCCGGACAUGCAAAAUCACCUGCCGGCUACGCCAGAACCACUUGGCAAACACUCCGGAAUCACCUGUCGGGCAUGCCGGAACCACCUCUCAGACUUGCCAGAACCAUGUUCCGGACACGCCGGUACCACCUGCCGAUUAUGCCGGAACCACCUGAUCCACUCCCCAGAACCACCUGCUGGACACGCCAAUAUCACCUGCCAGGUAAGCCAGAACGAUGUGGCGGACACUCCGGAAUCACCUGUCGGGCAUGCCGGAACCAACUCUCAGACGUGCCAGAACCUCGUGCCGGUCAUGCCAGAACCACCUGCCGGACAGACCGGAAACACCUGUUGGACACUCCGGAACCACCGGCUCCACUCGCCAGAACCACCGCCGGACAUGCAAAAUGACCUGCCAGCUACUCCAGAACCACUGGGCGAACAUUCCGGAAGCACCUGCCGGGCAUGGCGGAACCACCUCUCAGACAUGCCGGAACCACAUGCCAAUGACACCGGAAGCACCUGCCGAGCACGCCAGAACCACCUGCUCGACUCGCCAAAACCACCUGCUCGAUUCGCCAAAAUGAACUGCCGGCUACGCCAGAACCACUUGGCGAACACUCUGGAAUCACCUGUCGGGCAUGCCAGAACCACCUCUCAGACUUGCCAGAACCAUGUUCCGGACACGCCGGUACCAGCUGACGAUUAUGCCGGAACCACCUGAUCCACUCCCCAGAACCACCUGCUGGACAUGCCAGAAUCACCUGCCGGCUACGCCAGAACCACUCGGCAGACACUCCGGAACCACCUGCCGGGCAUGCCGGAACCAUCUCUCUGACGUGCCAGAACCAUGUGCCUGAGAUGCCGGAACCACUCCCCGAACAGACCGAAACCACCUGCCAGACCCGCCUGAACCCCCUGGCGAGCACGCCUGAUCCACCUGCUCAACUAGCCGGAACCACCUUCCUGACACGCCAAAAUCACCUGCCAGGUAUACAAGAACAACUUGGUGGACACUCCGGAAUCAUCUGCCGGACAUGCCAGAACCAGCUCUCAGACACACCAGAACCACGUGCCAGAGACGCCGGAAGCACCAGCUGAGCAUGCCUCAGGCACCUGAUCGACUCGCAAGAUACACCUGUCGGACAUGCCAAAAUCACCUGCCGGGUACGCCAGAAACACUUGGCGGACGCUCCGUAAUCACCUGUCGGGCGUGCCGGAACCUCUUCUGAGACUUGCCAGAACCAUGUUCUGGACACGUCGGUACCACCUGCCGAGUAUGCCGGAACCAGCUGAUCCACUCCCCAGAACCACCUAGUGGACACGCCAAAAUCAACUGCCGGCUACGCCAGAACCACUCGGCAGACACUCCGGAAUCACAUGCCAGGCAUUCCGGAACCACCUCUCAGAGCUGCCAGAACCACAUGCCGGACACUCCGGAAUCACCUGCCGGGCAUGCUGGAACCACGUGCUGGUCAUGCCGGAAGCACCUGCCGGACAUGCCAGAACCACAUGCCGGACAUUCCGGAACCACCGGCUCGACUCGCCGGAACCAUUGCCGGACAUGCAAAAUCACCUGCCGGGUACGCCAGAACCACUUGGCGAACACUCCGGUAUCACCUGCCGGGCAUGCCGGAACCACCUCUCAGAGGUGCCACAACCACAUGCCGGAGACGGCGGAAGCACCUGCCGAGAAUGCCGGAAGUUCCUGAUCCACUCCCCAGAACCACCUUCCGGACAUGCCAAAAUCACCUGCUGGCUACGCCAGAACCACUUGGCGGACACUCCAGAAUCACCUGCCGGGCAUGCCAGCACAACCUCUCAGAAGUGCCAGAACCACAUGCCGGACACUCCGGAAUCACCUGCCGGGCAUGCCGGAACCAUCUCUCAGACGUGCCAGAACCAUGUUCCGGACACGCCGGUACCACCUGGCGAGCUAGCCGGAACCACCUGCUGGACAUGCCAAAAUCACCUGCCGGCUACGCCAGAACCACUUGGCGGACACUCCAGAAUCACCUGCCGGGCUUGCUGGAACCACCUGCCGGUCACGCCAACAUCACCUGCCAGCUACGCCAGAUCCACUUGGCGGACACUCCGGAAACACCUAUCGGGCCGGCCGCAACCACCUCACAGACGUGCCAGAACCCUGUGCCUGAGAUGCCGGAACCACACCCCGAACAGACCGAAACCACCUGCCAGACCCGCCUGAACCCCCUGGCGAGCACGCCUGAUCCACCUGUUCAAGUAGCCGGAACCAGCUUCCUGACACGCCAAAAUCACCUGCCAGGUAUACCAGAACCACUUGGUGGACACUCUGGAAUCAUCUGCCGGACAUGCCAGAACCUGCUCUCAGACACGCCAGAACCAUGUGCCAGAGACGCCGGAAGCACCAGCUGAGCAUGCCUGAGCCACCUGCACGACUCGCAAGAAACACCUGUCGCACAUGCCAAAAUCACCUGCCGGGUACGCCAGAAACACUUGGCGGACACUCCGGAAUCACCUGUCGGGCAUGCCGGAACCACCUCUCAGACUUGCCAGAACCAUGCUCUGGACACGCCGGUACCACCUGCCGAGUAUGCCGGAACCAGCUGAUCCACUCCCCAGAACCACCUACUGGACACACCAAAAUCAACUGCCGGCUUAGCCAGAACCACACGGCAGACACUCCGGAAUCACAUGCCAGGCAUUCCGGAACCACGUCUCAGAGGUGCCAGAACCACAUGCCAGAGACUCCGGAAUCACCUGCCGGGCAUGCCGGAACCACCUAUCAAAGGUGCCAGAACCACAUGCCGGUGACUCUGGAAUCAUCUGCCGGGCAUGCCGGAACCUUCUCUCAGACGUGCCACAACCACGUGCCGGAGAGACCGGAAGCACCUUCCGAGUUCACCGGAACCACCUGCUGGACAUGCCGGAACCACCUGCCUCACAGGCCAAAAUCUUAUCCCGGCUACGCCAAAACCAGUGGGUGGACACUGCAGAAUCACCUUACGGGCAUGCCGGAACCACGUCAUGGACACACGGAAAACAACUGCCGGAACUGCCGGAACCACCUUCCGAGCACGCCGGAACCACCUGCUCGACUCGCCAGAACCACCGCCGGACAUGCAAAAUCACCUGCCGGCUAUGCCAGAACCACUUGGCGAACACUCCCGAAUCAGCUGCCGGGCAUGCCGGAACCACCUCUCAGACUUGCCAGAACCAUGUUCUGGACACGCCGGUACCACCUACCGAGUAUGCCGGAACCAGCUGAUCCACUCCCCAGAACCACCUACUGGACAGGCCACAAUCAACUGCCGGCAAUGCCAGAACCACACGGCAGACACUCCGGAAUCUCAUGCCAGGCAUUCAGGAACAACCUCUCAGAGGUGCCAGAGCCACAUGCCGGAGACUCCGGAAUCACCUGCCGGGCAUGCCAGCACAACCUCUCAGAAGUGCCAGAAGCACGUGCCGGACAGGCCGGAACCAUCUCCCGGACAGACCGGAAACACAGGAAACACUCGCCGGAACCACCUGCUUGACUCACCGGUCCCACCUGCCGGACACGCCAAAAUCACCUGCCCGCUACACCAGAACCACUUGGUGGAAGAGCCGCAAUCACGUGAUGUCAUGCCGACACAACCUCUCAGACGUGCCAGAACCUCGUCCCGGACACCCCAGUACCACCUGCUGGACAGACCGGAACCACCUGCCGGACACGCCAGAACCACCUGCUCGACUCGCCCGAACCAUUGCCGGACAUGCAAAAUCACCUGCCGGCUACGCCUGAACCACUCGGCAGACACUCCGGAAUCACAUGCCAGGCAUUCCGGAACCUCCUCUCAGAGGCGCCAGAACCAAAUGCCGGACACUCCGGUAUCACCUGCCGGGCAUGCCGGACCCACCUCUCAGACGUGGCAGAACCAUGUGCCAGACACGCCGGAACCACCUGCCGAGUAUGCCGGAACCACCUGCUCCACUCCCCAGAACCACC
ensembl:lncRNA